GAUGAACGCUGGCGGCGUGCCUAAUACAUGCCAGUCGAGCGAACAGACGAGGAGCUUGCUCCUCUGACGUUAGCGGCGGACGGGUGAGUAACACGUGGAUAACCUACCUAUAAGACUGGGAUAACUUCGGGAAACCGGAGCUAAUACCGGAUAAUAUAUUGAACCGCUUGGUUCAAUAGUGAAAGACGGUUUUGCUGUCACUUAUAGAUGGAUCCGCGCCGCAUUAGCUAGUUGGUAAGGUAACGGCUUACCAAGGCGACGAUGCGUAGCCGACCUGAGAGGGUGAUCGGCCACACUGGAACUGAGACACGGUCCAGACUCCUACGGGAGGCAGCAGUAGGGAAUCUUCCGCAAUGGGCGAAAGCCUGACGGAGCAACGCCGCGUGAGUGAUGAAGGUCUUCGGAUCGUAAAACUCUGUUAUUAGGGAAGAACAAAUGUGUAAGUAACUAUGCACGUCUUGACGGUACCUAAUCAGAAAGCCACGGCUAACUACGUG
rnacentral:rRNA from 1 species